GUACGUGUGUUGGAACAAUUUAAAAAGAUGACCACGAAUGUAAGAAGGAGGGGCUGGGUAGCGUUCCACCAAAUCUAAAUAUUCAAGCGCUGGCUCCCAACUAGGUGGAUAACAAGCUUCGAAUAUGUACGGAUUGUAAAGACACUGUAUGUUACCAUUCGCAAAUACUGGAAUUGUGACGGCCUGUCUGAACGUUUGAAAUAACAAGAAAUAACAACUUACUGGAAGAUACACGCCAAAUGAAGAUACGAAGAGUAAUUGUUAAUCAUACCUGACGGCUUUGAUGUGAUCCCAAGACGCGAUACCAGUUAACGGACCUUUUUGUUCCCGAGUUCGUCCGUGCACGAUUUAUGUUACGAACCGAUUCGUCGAAGCAAGUCCCAAUCGUCUUGAAGGAAAGCACCAUAACGACCACGUUUCGCGAUAGCUUGAGGACAACCAAUGUUUAUAUCCACUGCGUCGCAGUACGGUUCUGCCAAAAGUGCUGCCUCUAAUAGCGUAUUCGGAUCGUUGCCACAAAACUACAAUAAAUGAGAUCAAUGCGAAUAUGUGUUAAAGAUUAAAGUGGAGAGAGAGAGAGAUGUGAAUCGUAUACCUGGACGAUUAAUGGGCGAUCUUCGACAGUACUGGUAAGAGCCUCUCGUCGAUAUUUCGGAUCUCGACAGAACACGGAAGAAUGAAGC